GUGGCCUAAGUGGUUAGAGCGUCUGCCUCGGAUGCUGGAGGUCGUAUGUUCGAAUCCCGGUCGAUCAUACCAAAGACA